GGUUUCAGUCCUGAAGCGCCAUCAUUUUCUGCCUCCUUUACUGUUGGACUGGUUGUUAGACUUUCAGUGAUUGUUUUCCUGCAGCUGCUGCUGUUGUGUGUUUGGAGAAACAUGAAAGCACACAGAAGUGUGAGCACUGAUAAAAGCUCUGCUACACAGCAAACAGUCAACCAGCUUGAACCUCAGCUUUACUCCUCUCUGCUCCACGGCGAUGUUUGUGUCUAUGAAUCAGUCGAAGGCUCUGGAAACAAUGAUGGUGGUACAGUAUAAUAUCUGAUUAAUGCAGAGAUUAUAUGACACUAAAUACUAAAACAGAUGUGACUUGAUGAUUUCAGAGGAACCAACAGAUGAACCCAGUAAAACCACAGUGCUGCUUCAUA